GGAACAAUACUUGCGGGUGCCUCCGUGGUGGAUUGCCAAUGAUUAUCCGUGCUGGGAAAUGAUAGUGGACCGGUGGUGCUCGCAAGAGUGGGUGGAGAUGCACGAGGCUGCCCGGCAGCGGCGUUUGCUGAUGCCAGGUGCAUCGCACCAUCAGUGCAACCGUAACCUCAAGGCGUACGCGGCUAGAUAUGUAUGUGAAUUAAUUUCUUUAUUCUAACGCUCAAUUCUGCAUAAUUUCUAAUCAUCUUCCUUUAUUCGCAGUCGGCGUCACAUGGUGGUGUGCCUUGCACCCAAGUCAAGGCAUACUGUUUGGCCCACAAAGGAAAGGGGACGUCCGAUGUCACCUUCAACCCGCAGGAUCCGCCCGAAGUGUACAGCAACGCAAGCGUCCACAGCCGCCUCAGUGGGUACACCUCGAUGGCACAAGAAGUUCAUGGGCCGGAGUUUGAUGCGAUCAAUGAGCCCAUUGAUGGAGAAGUCGUCAUGAGGGCGGGAGGAGGCAAGAAGCAUGGACGGUACUGGUUUGGCGACAGCUUAGUCGACACGGCGACUACUCCCACUCUCUCGCAGAUUUGAGCCAGGAGUACCAGCUCAAGCCCUGCCAUACGCCCACGGCCAGACACUACACAGACUCAGAUUGAGGCUGUCAAGGCCCAGAUGGAAGCAGCCUUCCAAGCACGGCAGGAGGCGGCAGAGGAGAGGUGGAGGGCCGAGCGGGACGACAUCCAGCAAAAAUUGGAUCAAGCUCUAACAUUUAUGCAAAGCCUAGGCUCGGCGAUGGGUGUUUCGCCUCCACAAUUCCCUCCGGCCCCACUU